UAGGGAAUCUUCCGCAAUGGGCGAAAGCCUGACGCAGCAACGCCGCGUGAGUGAUGAAGGUCUUCGGAUCGUAAAACUCUGUUAUUAGGGAAGAACAAAUGUGUAAGUAACUAUGCACGUCUUGACGGUACCUAAUCAGAAAGCCACGGCUAACUACGUGCCAGCAGCCGCGGUAAUACGUAGGUGGCAAGCGUUAUCCGGAAUUAUUGGGCGUAAAGCGCGCGUAGGCGGUUUUUUAAGUCUGAUGUGAAAGACCACGGCUCAACCGUGGAGGGUCAUUGGAAACUGGAAUACUUGAGUGCAGAAGAGGAAAGUGGAAUUCCAUGUGUAGCGGUGAAAUGCGCAGAAAUAUGGAGGAACACCAGUGGCGAAGGCGACUUUCUGGUCUGUAACUGACGCUGAUGUGCGAAAGCGUGGGGAUCAAACAGG
rnacentral:rRNA from 1 species